rnacentral:rRNA from 1 species
CCUACGGGAGGCAGCAGUGGGGAAUAUUGCACAAUGGGCGAAACCCUGAUGCAGCGACGCCGCGUGAGUGAAGAAGUAAUUCGGUAUGUAAAGCUCUAUUAGCAGGGAAGAAAAUGACGGUACCUGAGUAAGAAGCCCCGGCUAAUUACGUGCCAGCAGCCGCGGUAAUACGUAGGGGGCAAGCGUUAUCCGGAUUUACUGGGUGUAAAGGGAGCGUAGACGGCUGUGCAAGUCUGGGGUGAAAGGCGGGGGCUCAACCUCCGGACUGCUCUUGAAACUGUACGGCUGGAGUGCAGGAGAGGUAAGUGGAAUGCCUGGUGUAGCGGUGAAAUGCGUAGAUAUUAGGAGGAACACCAGUGGCGAAGGCAGCUUACUGGACUGUAACUGACGUUGAGGCUCGAAAGCGUGGGGAGCAAACAGGAUUAGAUACCCUUGUAGUC